rnacentral:rRNA from 1 species
UACGUAGGGACCAAGCGUUGUUCGGAUUUACUGGGCGUAAAGGGCGCGUAGGCGGUGCGGUAAGUCACUUGUGAAAUCUCCGAGCUUAACUCGGAACGGCCAAGUGAUACUGCAGUACUAGAGUGCGGAAGGGGCAAUCGGAAUUCUUGGUGUAGCGGUGAAAUGCGUAGAUAUCAAGAGGAACACCUGAGGUGAAGACGGGUUGCUGGGCCGACACUGACGCUGAUGCGCGAAAGCGUGGGGAGCGAACAGG